CCUCCAGAUGCCACAGGUAAAACUGGACCGUCUCACAGAAGGUCUCCAUGGCUACGGAGCAGGGUGGAGGCGGUGAGCCCCGAGGGGCAGCAGCCGGACGAGGUCUCCCCGGGCCACCUCCCUCCAGAAGCGUUGGCACACUUCUGUAACCAGCAGGUAUCAGGGAUUUGGGACCCCCCCGAAACACUUAAGAAAUCAAAACCUGGGGCAAGGAGAUCAGACCAUAAAGAGCAUCCGAGACCAGCCCUGGUCGGGCCCAACAUAGAGCCAUGUUCCCUGGUUCCCUCUCCUGUGAAAUCCCGUCGUCCUCCUGAAACGCUCGAAACAGAGUCGGGUAAACCGAGUCACAGAGACAACUUCCUCCCGCUAAGCCGUGUUCCCUUGAAAGCACCAGCCACAGUUCCACCGCCUGUGCCCCCCCGAGAGCCGAUUGGGGCCACACAAAGCAGGAGAUUGGACAAAUGCUCGGGAAUAAAUGGACAACCUACCUCCUAUUCAGCAAACCCCUCCACCUGCUUGCCCCGGGCCCUCGUCCAGCCCCCUGGCCGGGCCUCACCGGCGGGCCCCACCAGACACGUACCACUGCAGAUCACCUGGCACAUCUUGGCUUCAUUGGUCCUUGGAUGAACAAAGACACAGCAAAGAACAAAGAGACAGGCAGCAAGAAAGAGAGACCAGAAGAAGGCAACAGGCGGGCAGAGAAAGGAAGGAAACCGAGGGACGCUGGGGGCAGAGAAGAGGCGUUGGUGGGGGAAAGGGAACAGGUGACAGAGCCACCCUCCCCUCCCAGCCUGGCCCCUCCAGCGGCCGUCUCAGAGCAGCUAGUCCCCUGCCCCCCGCCCCACUCUCUCCACCCACCCGGCCCCAUCUGACCAGAGCCCCUGCAAAACGGGACACGCUGGCCCCCGGGCCCUUCCUGAGCCACCGCCCUUCUCGCAGCUUCCACACCACCGCCACCCUGUCCCCGUCUCCCUGCCAACUCUCUUCCUGACGUCAGGUUUCUCUGAGCUGGGUUCUGCCCGCCUCCUCUCCUCUGUCUGCAUCUGUGGGCGUGGACGGCUUUGAGCACCACCCACACGCCAAAGACCCUGGAAGGAAGGCCCCCCACACCUGCCCUCGGACUCGACUCCGCAUCCACCCAUCAGCUGGCCACCUGACCCCGCCCCUCGAAAGUCCCGCAGGAAUGUGAACUCAGUGCACCUGCCCGGCAGCCAGCUGCUCACGCCUGAAGCUGGGAGUCUUCCUUGGCUCCUCUUUUUUUUCCUUCACCUCCAGCACAGAACUCAUCAGCAAGUCCCAUCAGUCGGAGCCUCAUUCAUCUCUCCCGUCUGCGCACCCCUCACCAGCCUGGCCCCAGCCUGAGCCACCAUCGCCUCUCAUGUACACACCUCUCAUCCCUUCUCCACCCACACAACAGCUAGAAUGUUCUUCCUGGAACCUGCGUGUCACAAGGCAACCCUGCAGCUUUCUGGGGCUCUCAAGUAAGGUCCAGACUCUACCACACCCACCAGGCCCUGCCAGCCUCUCCAACCCCACUUUCUACCAUCUGCCCUCACCCUAACGACAGCCACAGUGACCUCUCAGUCCUUCAGAGAAGCCGAGCCUUUCCCUGCCUCAGGGCCUUUGCACAUAACGUUCUCCAUGCAGAACGCCCUCCCGCAUCUGGUUCUUCACCAUCGUCUCGUCCUUUCGGGUCACAGCUGAAAUGUCACUACCCCAGUGAGGGCCCCACAGAGGUGAGGUCCCCUCCCUCCUGAUCUCAAACAGCCACCAGGCUGUUCUCGUCACACCACAUGUCAUCUCAUAUGAUGAUGGCCGA